UGGUGGAUGUGGUAUGUGGACCAAAUUUGAUUAGUCAGAUUACCUGAUAAAUAGGAUGUUAACUCUAGCAAUUCCUCCUUAUGACAGCCCUAACAUGAGGGUAUAGGGACCCUCUUUAUGCAACCCCAGAGUGUGAUCUUGAGACCUUUACCAUUUAUAUAGGGACAACCCACCUCAGAGAUUGAAUGGUUCCUAGAUCUAAAGACUAACGGUUCAUCAUAGGAUUGCACUCUUUGUAUGGAAGAUGGCCCAAGAU
rnacentral:lncRNA from 1 species